AACAAACGCUGGCGGCAUGCCUAACACAUGCAAGUCGAACGAGAUCUUCGGGUCUAGUGGCGCACGGGUGCGUAACGCGUGGGAAUCUGCCCUUUGGUUCGGAAUAACAGUUGGAAACGACUGCUAAUACCGGAUGAUGACGAAAGUCCAAAGAUUUAUCGCCAGAGGAUGAGCCCGCGUAGGAUUAGCUAGUUGGUGUGGUAAAGGCGCACCAAGGCGACGAUCUUUAGCUGGUCUGAGAGGAUGAUCAGCCACACUGGGACUGAGACACGGCCCAGACUCCUACGGGAGGCAGCAGUGGGGAAUAUUGGACAAUGGGCGAAAGCCUGAUCCAGCAAUGCCGCGUGAGUGAUGAAGGCCUUAGGGUUGUAAAGCUCUUUUACCCGGGAUGAUAAUGACAGUACCGGGAGAAUAAGCUCCGGCUAACUCCGUGCCAGCAGCCGCCGUAA
rnacentral:rRNA from 1 species